CAGUCGCCGCGGGAACACGUAGGUGGCAAGCGUUGUCCGGAAUUAUUGGGCGUAAAGGGCUCGCAGGCGGUUUCUUAAGUCUGAUGUGAAAGCCCCCGGCUCAACCGGGGAGGGUCAUUGGAAACUGGGAAACUUGAGUGCAGAAGAGGAGAGUGGAAUUCCACGUGUAGCGGUGAAAUGCGUAGAGAUGUGGAGGAACACCAGUGGCGAAGGCGACUCUCUGGUCUGUAACUGACGCUGAGGAGCGAAAGCGUGGGGAGCGAACAGGAUUAGAUACCCGUGUAGUCCCUGUCUCUUAUAC
rnacentral:rRNA from 1 species